rnacentral:rRNA from 1 species
CCUACGGGAGGCAGCAGUGAGGAAUAUUGGUCAAUGGCCGGAAGGCUGAACCAGCCAUGCCGCGUGAAGGUCAGUGCCCUAUGGGCGUUAAACUUCUUUUGUGCAGGAGCAAUAAUGGUCACGUGUGGCCAGACGAGAGUACCGUACGAAUAAGCAUCGGCUCACUCCGUGCCAGCAGCCGCGGUAAUACGGGGGAUGCAAGCGUUAUCCGGAUUUAUUGGGUUUAAAGGGUGCGUAGGCUGUGAGGUAAGUCAGCGGUGAAAUGCCCCCGCUCAACGGGGUGAAGUGCCAUUGAUACUGCCUGGCUGGAAUGCGGAUGCCGUGGGAGGAAUGUGUGGUGUAGCGGUGAAAUGCAUAGAUAUCACACAGAACACCGAUUGCGAAGGCAUCUCACGAAGCCGCGAUUGACGCUGAUGCACGAAAGCGUGGGUAUCAAACAGGAUUAGAUACCCCUGUAGUC